UACGAAGGGGGCUAGCGUUGCUCGGAAUUACUGGGCGUAAAGCGUGCGUAGUCGGUAUUGAGAGUCGCGGGUGAAAUCCCAGGGCUUAACCCUGGAACUGCCUGCGAGACCUCAGUACUAGAGUGUGAGAGGGGAUAGUGGAAUACCCAGUGUAGCGGUGAAAUGCGUAGAGAUUGGGUGGAACACCGGUGGCGAAGGCGGCUAUCUGGCUCACAACUGACGAUCAGGCACGAAAGCGUGGGGAGCAAACAGG
rnacentral:rRNA from 1 species